AUUGAACGCUGGCGGCCGGCCUAACACAUGCAAGUCGAACGAGUGGCGGACGGGUGAGUAAUGUCUGGGAAACUGCCUGAUGGAGGGGGAUAACUCCUGGAAACGGUAGCUAAUACCGCAUACCAUCAGAUGGGCCCAGAUGGGAUUAGCUUGUUGGUGGGGUAACGGCUCACCAAGGCGACGAGCCCUAGCUGGUCUCAGAGGAUGACGCGCCACACUGGAACUGAGACACGGGCCAGACUCCUACGGGAGGCAGCAGUGGGGAAUAUUGCACAAUGGGCGCAAGCCUGAUGCAGCCAUGCCGCGUGUAUGAAGAAGGCCUUCGGGUUGUAAAGUACUUUCAGCGGGGAGGCGUUACCCGCAGAAGAAGCACCGGCUAACUCCGUGCCAGCAGCCGCGGUAAUUC
rnacentral:rRNA from 1 species